rnacentral:snRNA from 1 species
ACCUCCACCUGAAAGAUUUACUA